CAAUAGCGUAUAUUAAAGUUGUUGCAGUUAAAAAGCUCGUAGUUGGAUUUGUGGCGUAUGGUGUGUUCCGGGCAUUUGUUGUCUGAGUAACUUGCCAUUGCCAUCCUUGGGUGGAACCUGUGUGGCAUUAGGUUGUCGUGCAGGGGAUGCCCAUCGUUUACUGUGAAAAAAUUAGAGUGUUCAAAGCAGGCUUAUGCCGUUGAAUAUAUUAGCAUGGAAUAAUAAGAUAGGACUUUUUUGCUAUUUUGUUGGUUUGCGCGAGAAGGUAAUGAUUAAUAGGGAUAGUUGGGGGUAUUCGUAUUCCAUUGUCAGAGGUGAAAUUCUUGGAUUUUUGGAAGACGAACUACUGCGAAAGCAUUUACCAAGGAUGUUUUCAUUA
rnacentral:rRNA from 1 species